rnacentral:rRNA from 1 species
AACCUGCGGAAGGAUCAUUACCGAGUGCGGGCCCUCUGGGUCCAACCUCCCAUCCGUGUCUAUCUGUACCCUGUUGCUUCGGCGUGGCCACGGCCCGCCGGAGACUAACAUUUGAACGCUGUCUGAAGUUUGCAGUCUGAGUUUUUAGUUAAACAAUCGUUAAAACUUUCAACAACGGAUCUCUUGGUUCCGGCAUCGAUGAAGAACGCAGCGAAAUGCGAUAAUUAAUGUGAAUUGCAGAAUUCAGUGAAUCAUCGAGUCUUUGAACGCACAUUGCGCCCCCUGGUAUUCCGGGGGGCAUGCCUGUCCGAGCGUCAUUGCUGCCCUCAAGCACGGCUUGUGUGUUGGGCUUCCGUCCCUGGCAACGGGGACGGGCCCAAAAGGCAGUGGCGGCACCAUGUCUGGUCCUCGAGCGUAUGGGGCUUUGUCACCCGCUCCCGUAGGUCCAGCUGGCAGCUAGCCUCGCAACCAAUCUUUUUAACCAGGUUGACCUCGGAUCAGGUAGGGAUACCCGCUGAACUUAAGCAUAUCAAU